GGCAAUUCACAGUAGUUUGCAGG
rnacentral:siRNA from 1 species